CGAGUGUGUGUUGUGUUGUUCUUUCUCUCUUUUCCUUCUCGCUCUACCCCACCCUACGGCUGUCAGAGAGAGGAGUGUGGGCAGCAUUGUGAUAGGAAUAGAUGUUCCCCUAAGCGAGACCUGCAAAAGCCAUUUGAAAUCUGCUUGAUGGAGAACAGUAGAUCCAGAUGCAGAGAGGAGUCAGGAGCAGAGUUGCUUUUAAUCACCGGGGACGGCAGGAGUCGACUUCCUCUGAAGUUUGACCGUAAAGAUGCAGUUGGAAGGCGCUGGCAAACGGGCAUCGAAUUAUUAAGACUGGAGGUAAAAGCCUGUCAUGGUCUGUAUGUGUACGCCCUCAUUUGAGGAGUACGGAUUUGGCCAGCCUCACCCCCGCAGUGCAGCCAAGUCCCUAUCUCACCCCCGCAGAAGCCAAAGCAUCAAACCUCCUCCACGUCUGCGGCGUCUGUACCCUCCAGCCACCUCCUCAACACUCACUCCUCUACCACACCUUCUCUCCUCUCACAUAAUCAUCUUCCUAGGCUUCUGGUCAUCUGUGGAUCCUAUUUUUGCUACAUGUAUUUGGUACCCGAGUGCUUUUCUUCUUCCAAAAUAGGAAAUUUAGUUCAGUGCCUUUGAAAAGCCAUACAUCAAUGUCACAACAUCGGACCCACAUUCGCAGGUGCACACGCAUGAACGCAGGCAAGUGAAUGCCAUUUCCUUAAAAUCAAAGCAAAUUUGCAGUUUUCUUUAUAAAUUUAUAUUAAUCUGCAUCCCAGCAUGCUUCAAAAAGUCACUAAGUACAAAUUCUGAUCUUUGUGUUUGUGUUUUCAAAUGCCU